GGAAAAACUGUGUGUGCAGUCAAAGCACUCUGCAUGAAGGUGACUUUUCUAGAAGGAAAAAUGGCUGAAUUGGAGACCUUUGUCGUGAAGCUGGGGAAUCCUUCUGAAUGUGAAUUCAGCAGGACCAGGUGUUUCCACGUGUUCGAGAGAGAUGUCAUCGACUCUGGGCCCUUCAGAGAACAGCAAUGAUGACUGCCAGAGGGUAAAGGCCAAGGGAUGAGGCACUUCCCAUAUUGCUCCAGCUGUAUUUAGAGCCAAGAGAACAAAGUGAUUGGAAGACAGGCUUAACAUUUAUAGCCCUCAAAUUUUGUCUAAACUCAACAUAUCCCUCCAAGUCCUAGUCAAUCUCAUGUCCUCUCAGGAAUCUUUUCCAGGUACAUUUGUCUCUUUUAAUCUUUUCUUGCUCUGAUAAACAUGUACCAAUAUCAUGAUAUACAGUGUCACACAAUUCAGUGAUCCAAACUAGAAAAGCUCCCCCAUAUAAGUAAUUCUGAAAGAGAGCUAUACCACCUCAUAAAAUAAAGAUGAGUAACACA
rnacentral:lncRNA from 1 species